rnacentral:rRNA from 1 species
GUGCCUAGCAUCAACUGUCCAACUGUCUAAAAAACAGUUAUUAGCAAGAGCCGGGUAAGACCGGUGCCAGCCGCCGCGGUAACACCGGCGGCUCGAGUGGUGACCGCUAUUAUUGGGUCUAAAGGGUUCGUAGCCGGCUUAGUAAGUUCUUUGGGAAAUCUGGCGGCUUAACCGUCAGGCUCCCGAAGGAUACUGUUAGGCUUGAGACCGGGAGGGGCUAGAGGUACUUCAGGGGUAGGGGUGAAAUCCUGUGAUCCCUGUGAGACCACCAGUGGCGAAGGCGUCUAGCUAGAACGGGUCUGACGGUGAUGAACGAAAGCUAGGGGCACGAACCGGAUUAGAUACCCGGGUAGUCCUAGCCGUAAACGAUGCGAGCUAGGUGUCACGGUAGCUGCGAGCUACUGUGGUGCCGUAGGGUAGCCAUGAAGCUCGCCACCUGGAAGUACGCCGCAAGGC